rnacentral:rRNA from 1 species
AGCGAACGCUGGCGGCAGGCUUAACACAUGCAAGUCGAGCGGGCGUAGCAAUACGUCAGCGGCAGACGGGUGAGUAACACGUGGGAACGUACCUUUUGGUUCGGAACAACUGAGGGAAACUUCAGCUAAUACCGGAUAAGCCCUAACGGGGAAAGAUUUAUCGCCGAAAGAUCGGCCCGCGUCUGAUUAGCUAGUUGGUGAGGUAAUGGCUCACCAAGGCGACGAUCAGUAGCUGGUCUGAGAGGAUGAUCAGCCACACUGGGACUGAGACACGGCCCAGACUCCUACGGGAGGCAGCAGUGGGGAAUAUUGGACAAUGGGGGCAACCCUGAUCCAGCCAUGCCGCGUGAGUGAUGAAGGCCCUAGGGUUGUAAAGCUCUUUUGUGCGGGAAGAUAAUGACGGUACCGCAAGAAUAAGCCCCGGCUAACUUCGUGCCAGCAGCCGCGGUAAUACGAAGGGGGCUAGCGUUGCUCGGAAUCACUGGGCGUAAAGGGUGCGUAGGCGGGUCUUUAAGUCAGGGGUGAAAUCCUGGAGCUCAACUCCAGAACUGCCUUUGAUACUGAGGAUCUUGAGUCCGGAAGAGGUGAGUGGAACUGCGAGUGU